UCUAAAUUUGACUGCCCCUUAUGUCCAAAAUCCUACCCACUAAUGACAUAUCAGCAAACCUGAUGUAUGUAACCAAUCCAAAUAUUCAAACUGAGUCCUUUGGUUAGUUACACAUUGAUGUCUAAGAGCCAGUCUGUUUUAAUAUUUACAGAGCUAUGAGUUUGUCACAGAGAGCGGUGCGAUUUCUCAGGAUACCUAUUUUAGUUACACUAUACGUCAAAGAGUGUGCUAUUCCAUUAACAGCACCAAAGCACUUUCAAUUCCAAUUUUAUAAUCAAUGCAUGUUCCUCUCAAUGAGUAGUUUCAGUGAGUUAUUAAUUUCAACUAGCAGUACAGAUUUAUAACAAAAUUUCUGCUAUAAUCUGCACAUACAGUACAUAUGUUUUGUCUGCUAUGAUGAAGGUGUUCAUGAUGAUGGCUCCAGCAUCAUUAUUGCUAAAUCUGGACAUGUUGCCGUUAAGAUGAUAUGAAUCUUCUUUCAUAUGAAUAGCAGUAUUCCCUGUGCUCUCAGAAGUGUUUAUUUUUUGUACUAUAUUGUUUGCAUUGGUAAAAACAGUGCAUAUAUAAUUAAAAUAAUAGUAAU